rnacentral:rRNA from 1 species
ACUGCUCAGUAACACGUGGACAACCUACCCUCAGGAGGGGGAUAACCCCGGGAAACUGGGGAUAAUACCCCAUAGACCAGGGAUGCUGGAAUGCCUCCUGGUUCAAAGGUCCGCCGCCUGAGGAUGGGUCUGCGGCCGAUUAGGUUGUUGUUGGGGUAACGGCCCAACAAGCCUUUGAUCGGUACGGGUUGUGAGAGCAAGAGCCCGGAGAUGGAUUCUGAGACACGAAUCCAGGCCCUACGGGGCGCAGCAGGCGCGAAAACUUUACAAUGCGAGAAAUCGUGAUAAGGGAACCCCGAGUGCCCGUAAAUUCGGGCUGUCCGCCAGUGCAAAUAGCUGGUGAAGAAAGGGCCGGGCAAGACCGGUGCCAGCAGCCGCGGUAAUACGAU